GGCAGCAUUUUAGUUUGCUUGCAAACUGAAGAUGGCGACCGGCGCACGGGUGAGUAACACGUAUCCAACCUGCCGAUAACUCCGGAAUAGCCUUUCGAAAGAAAGAUUAAUACCGGAUAGCAUACGAAUAUCGCAUGAUAUUUUUAUUAAAGAAUUUCGGUUAUCGAUGGGGAUGCGUUCCAUUAGUUUGUUGGCGGGGUAACGGCCCACCAAGACUACGAUGGAUAGGGGUUCUGAGAGGAAGGUCCCCCACAUUGGAACUGAGACACGGUCCAAACUCCUACGGGAGGCAGCAGUGAGGAAUAUUGGUCAAUGGGCGAGAGCCUGAACCAGCCAAGUAGCGUGAAGGAUGAAGGCUCUAUGGGUCGUAAACUUCUUUUAUAUGGGAAUAAAGUUUUCCACGUGUGGAAUUUUGUAUGUACCAUAUGAAUAAGGAUCGGCUAACUCCGUGCCAGCAGCCGCGGUAAUACGGAGGAUCCGAGCGUUAUCCGGAUUUAUUGGGUUUAAAGGGAGCGUAGGUGGAUUGUUAAGUCAGUUGUGAAAGUUUGCGGCUCAACCGUAAAAUUGCAGUUGAAACUGGCAGUCUUGAGUACAGUAGAGGUGGGCGGAAUUCGUGGUGUAGCGGUGAAAUGCUUAGAUAUCACGAAGAACUCCGAUUGCGAAGGCAGCUCACUAGACUGUCACUGACACUGAUGCUCGAAAGUGUGGGUAUCAAACAGG
rnacentral:rRNA from 1 species